rnacentral:rRNA from 1 species
CCUACGGGAGGCAGCAGUAAGGAAUAUUGGACAAUGCUCGCAAGAGUGAUCCAGCCAUGCCGCGUGCAGGAAGAAUGCCCUAUGGGUAGUAAACUGCUUUUGAACUAGAGAAAAUCCCAGUACGUGUACUGGGCUGAUAGUAUAGUUAGAAUAAGCAUCGGCUAACUUCGUGCCAGCAGCCGCGGUAAGACGAAGGAUGCAAGCGUUAUCCGGGAUUCAUUGGGUUUAAAGGGAGCGUAGGUGGACUGAUAAGUCAGUGGUGAAAUCUCCGAGCUUAACUCGGAAAUUGCCAUUGAUACUGUUGGUCUUGAGUACAGUUGCUGUGGGCGGAAUAUGACAUGUAGUGGUGAAAUACAUAGAGAUGUCAUAGAACACCGAUUGCGAAGGCAGCUCACAAAGCUGUAACUGACACUGAGGCUCGAAAGUGCGGGGAUCAAACAGGAUUAGAUACCCUGGUAGUCCGCACCGUAAACGAUGAUUACUCGCUGNGUAGGGCGACUUACGUGUGUAGNGAAGAGAGAGUAAUACACCGNGGAGUACGCGCGACGAGAACGACGAAGAAGUAGACGGCGNGAGGACGNGGCCGACGGACGACGACGAGGGGAGGAGG